CAACUAUAAAAGCUAGUAUUAUUGUAACAAUUAUUUGUAAUUUCUUUUUUUUGUUUUCUACAAGAUUUAAGAGGCUAAUACAUUACAAAACAAUUAGACUAAAAGCUAAUAUUACUGUAACUUUGGUUUGCAAUUUCACGUUUUGUUUUCCAUAUAAUUUAAGAGACUAAUGCAUUUUAAAAACCAAUUUUUAGAUCCUGUUUUUAAACAUAUAAUGUACAGGCCGGGCGCUGCGGCUCACGCCUGUAAUCCCAGCACUUUGGGAGGCUGAGGCGGGUGGAUCACGAGGUCAGGAGAUCGAGACCAUCCUGGCUAACACGGUGAAACCCCGUCUCUACUAAAAAUACAAAAAAAAAAUUAGCCAGGCAUGGUGGCGGGCACCUGUAGUCCCAGCUACUCGGGAGGCUGAGGCAGGAGAAUGGAGUGAACCCGGGAGGCGGAGCUUGCAGUGAGCUGAGACUGUGCCACUGCACUCCAGCCUGGGCAACAGAGCAAGACUCUGUCUCAAAAAACAAAACAAAACAAAAAAAAAACAUAUAAUGUACAAAGAUAUACUUUUGUGACAUCAAUAACUAGAAGGAUUUGGGGCAGAGCUGUUAAAAGGGUAGAGUUUUUGUAUGUUAUUGAAGUUAAGCUGGCAUAAAUUCAAACUAGAGUAUUAUAAUUUUAGGACAUUAAAUAUAAUCUCCAUGGUAACCACAGAGAAAACAGUUACAGGACAUGUUACAUAUUAUGUUAAAAUUUUUCACUACAAAAAAAAUCAACUAAACACAAAAGAAGACAGUAAUGCAGGAAAUAAGCAAUUAAAAAACUAUAAUGCAUACAGAACAUAAAUUAGUAAAAUAACAUAAGUCCCUCCUUAUCAAUAAUUACUUUAAAUGUAAAUGGAUUAAACUCUCCAAAGAUAGAAAUUGGCAGAAUGGAUUUAAAAAAACCCAGAAUCCACCUAUAUGCUAUCUAUAAGAGACUCUAUAUCUAAAGACACAAAAAAAUUGCAAUUAAAAAUUUUGAAAAAAAUAUUCCACAUAAAUUGUAACCAAAGGAGAUUAGGGAUGGCCUUACAAAUAUCAGACAAAAUGUCUUUAAAUUAAAAAAAGGUUACAAGAGACAAAAAAGGAGACAUAUACAGCAAGAAGAUUAGAACAAUUAUUAACAUUUAUGCACCUAAAUGUACAAAUGAGGAUAUUGAUGGUUUGUUUUUAGGUGUAAAAAACAAACCAUGACUAAUAGUUGCAGACUUCAAUACCCCACUCUCAAUAAUGGAUAGAACAACCUGGCAGAAGAUAAUUAAGAAAAUAGAGGACUUGGGGCUGGGCGCAGUGGCUCACGCCUAUAAUCCCAGCACUUUAGGAGGCUGAGGCAGGUGAAUCACGAGCUCAGGAGAU
rnacentral:lncRNA from 10 species